GACGAACGCUGGCGGCGUGCUUAACACAUGCAAGUCGAACGGAAAGGCCCUGCUUUUGUGGGGUGCUCGAGUGGCGAACGGGUGAGUAACACGUGAGUAACCUGUCCUUGUCUUUGGGAUAACUUCAGGAAACUGGGGCUAAUACCGGAUAGGAGCUCCUGCUGCAUGGUGGGGGAUGGAAAGUUUCGGCGGUUGGGGCUAGUUUCGCGGCUUACCCGCUUGUUGGUGGGGUAGGGGCUGACCAGGUGUUUGACGGGUAGGCGGCCUGGGAGGGUGAACGGCCACAUUGGGACUGCGGUACGGCGCAGACGCCUACGGGAGGCAGCAGGCGGGAAUAUUGCACAGUGAGCGGAAGCCUGAGGCAGCAACGCCGCGUUCGGGAUGACGGCCUUCUGGUUGUAAACCGCUUUCGCCUGUGACGAAGCGUGAGUGACGGUAAUGGGUAAAGAAGCACCGGCUAACUACGUG
rnacentral:rRNA from 1 species